CACGAACGCUGGCGGCAGGCUUAACACAUGCAAGUCGAGCGCCCCGCAAGGGGAGCGGCAGACGGGUGAGUAACGCGUGGGAAUCUACCCAUCUCUACGGAAUAACGCAUGGAAACGUGUGCUAAUACCGUAUACGUCCUUCGGGAGAAAGGUUUAUCGGAGAUGGAUGAGCCCGCGGUGGAUUAGCUAGUUGGUGGGGUAAAGGCCUACCAAGGCGACGAUCCAUAGCUGGUCUGAGAGGAUGAUCAGCCACACUGGGACUGAGACACGGCCCAGACUCCUACGGGAGGCAGCAGUGGGGAAUAUUGGACAAUGGGCGCAAGCCUGAUCCAGCCAUGCCGCGUGAGUGAUGAAGGCCCUAGGGUUGUAAAGCUCUUUCACCGGUGAAGAUAAUGACGGUAACCGGAGAAGAAGCCCCGGCUAACUUCGUGCCAGCAGCCGCAGUAAAAC
rnacentral:rRNA from 1 species